AUACGAGGGGUGCAAGCGUUAAUCGGAAUUACUGGGCGUAAAGCGUUCGUAGGCGGUUAUUUAAGCAAGAUGUGAAAGCCCAGGGCUCAACCUUGGAACUGCAUUUUGAACUGGGUAACUAGAGUAUUGUAGAGGGUGGUGGAAUUUCCAGUGUAGCGGUGAAAUGCGUAGAGAUUGGAAGGAACAUCAGUGGCGAAGGCGGCCACCUGGACAAAUACUGACGCUGAGGAACGAAAGCGUGGGGAGCAAACAGGAUUAGAAACCCUAGUAGUCC
rnacentral:rRNA from 1 species